UUGAUAUAUUGAUAUAUAUAUAUAUUUUAAAAUGACUUAAUUGAAAUAAUAAGUUGUCAAGUGACCUUUGUUAUUGAAAUUAUAUUGUUUUAAAAUAUAAAAGGUUGUGUGCAUGUAACUUAAGCUACGUUAAUAUUGAUCGACUCAAAGUAAGGUUAAUAUUGAACAAAAUUACAUGUACAACUACGGUAAUAAACAUGUGAUGAUUAUUUGGUUUUACAUGUGAUUAAUAAAUUGGCCCAAAGGAAGAUUUAUUAUUCGAUAUGUUUUAUUGUUAAUGUUUGAUUACUACAAUAAGAUAUCACUUACAAUUUAAUAUUUUUGUCCAAAGAUGAAAUAUUAAUGGAGUGUCCGAUAUCUUGAGAUGAGAUUUACCUUUAUUCAAAUUAUUUUGGUUUAAAUUUGAAAUAUUUUGAAACAAAUAAAUUGAUUUUGGCUUUAUGGUUUAAUUAAGGAUUUCUAAUAUUUUAAAUAAAUUAGUUGAAGCAAAAUGUCACCAAAGUGACCUUUUGUGUAGAUUAGUUUAAUUAAAAUAUCAAGAUUAUUAUAUGUUUUUGGAUUCAUGCGUUUAUUAAUGGACCCAAAGGUAAGUUAAUAUUUGGUAAAAUUUCAACAUCUAUGGUGAUAAAUGUGUGACAAAUAUAAAGUACUUUAUGUGAGCAAUAAGUUAGUCCAAAGAUUGAUUCAUUUGUUUGACAUGAUUUAUUGAUAAUGUUUGAUUGCUAUAAUAAAAGUAUCGCUUACAGUUAAUAUUAUUGUUCAAAAACUUGAUAUUAAUGUUGUGUUUGGCAUCUUGAGAUGGGAUUAGCCACUAUUUUAAAUUUAUUGUUUACUUAUUAAUAUUGAUGUGAGCUUGUUUUUAUCUAUUUUGUUUUAUAUUCAGCUAGUUCAUCUUCUGUUGUCACAAUAUCUGCUAAUAUAAAUUCUAUACUUAUGCUUAUUAAGACUAAUUUCAAGGAAUGGAAAAGACAUUUACUUAUAGUGUUUAACUUUAUAAACAUAGACAUUUCACAAAGGGAAGAACAACUUGCACCUCUCACUGCAGAAAGCUACCCUGAAGCUAAAAGGGAUUUUGAGAGCCUGGUCGAGGGUGACUUUAUUGCUGAUCAAGAGUCGCCUACUGUUGAAGAGGAUGUUGAUGUGAGAGAGGAGGAAGUCCGUGUUGUAGUUGUGAACUAGAAGACGAGGAAGAAAAUACUGAGAAAGAAGUUGCAGAGAAAGAAUCUGCUGAGAACAUUGUCAAUACAUCCGAGUUUGUGGGUGCAACUACUGAUAAUCUAGAGCAGAUAGAGCUAGGCCGGCGGAAGCUAUAGAGGUAACCAGUGAGUAACAUUACAAUUCAUUGGCAAUAGUGGUCUAUACCGGACCACUCAAGGUGACCCCUCCUACAUAAGAAGCAGCCGAUGAUGCCGAGGCAGCGCUGAAAACUGAGGAGCUAUCCGAGGACCGUGUGAAGCCCAAAGAAAAGAAAAGAAAGUGCUCCAAAGAUAAAAAACGCAAUGAGGAGAAAAAGAUGAGGAAGAAGAAACAUCAUGCAACCAUAUUGAUGGCCAAGGAAAACUGAGUUAGUUUAUUUUAAGUUUUACCUGUAGUAUUCAUGCAUUGCAUGUAGCUGUAAUUUUCAUUUUGUUAGUGCAGAUUGUCGUUGCAUUUUUUUUGUCAGUGCAUUUUAAUGUUAGUGUAUUGGGGGCAAUGCAAACUUUAAGUUUGGGGAAAUGCAUAUGGGUUUUCGAAAUACACCCACAUAUAUAUAUUUUGCAUUUAAUGAAGCAUGCAAGGUUUAUUUUUGGUUAAUGCAAAUGUGUUUGAAAAUUUUUGUUACAUUCGAUACUUAAUUCUUGAAUCAUGUGAAUUAUCGAUGAAUGAGUUGGAUAAAUUUGACUGAAUGUUAUAUCUUUAAUUCUUUGAUGAAUGAUUUAGGUUGCAUUAAUAAUGGAUGACUAGUAGCAUUCGUUGAAUCUUGAAUGAAUCUGCCUUUUACAACUGUUUAUAUAUAUAGUUAUGAAUAAGAGACACUCCAAAGUGGGUGUAUUGUGAAAUGUUAAAGAGGGAACACUCCAAUGCAAGCAUUAGAAAAAUGAAUAUGGCCAAAGGCUGUCACUGCAUGAGUGUGUGUCGGCACAAUUACGUACUCCCUAGGGGUUUGUUUCACUCCAUCGUUACUUCUCAGGAGCAAGGGUACAGUAAUGCAACGAUAUCCCUUAUUCACAAAAAAAAAGAGACGUAUAUUAUAUAAUAAAUGUUGUAUUGGUAACUAGAAUUUAGGAUUUAAAGCAUGAUACUAGUUUUGAUGAAGUUGCAAUCUUAUUCAUUCAUACUUAUGUAUUGUCAAUGCAAUAUUCUAUCAUCUAAAUGUGACUCAUUCAUUGGGAUUUUAGGUAAUUUAAGUUGCUAGAAUGAUCAUUUGCCUUAAUGAAUUCUUGUGUAGCCUUGCCAGUUUCUGUUUUACUUGAGAACUAGUAAAAACUCAAGUUUGGAGGUGUGAUAGUACUAGAAAGAACAUAUAUUUUCUCCCUACUUAUUGGUUAAUUUGUCCCCAUUUAGUUAUCUUUAGCACAUAUUUAAGAAUUUUCAGUUCAGUAAAUUGCAUUUUAUAACUCAGUGGAUCUUAGCCUAUUUAUCCUUAAUUUUGUCAUGUUUUGGUACCAAUGUCGCUGCAUGAAUAUUUUCAGAUUGUGCCCAGAAUUGUCGCAGCAUCUGACAGUUGUCCGGAUAAGAAAAAAAUGUGUGUUGUCUAGUCUAGUAUAACCAACUUUGUACGUACAGAGGCAGCAUGAUUAUGAUGAAAUGUUUGGGAAGAAUAUAAAUAUUCACGUGAAAAGAAAAAAAAGAGGCUUUUUGGGAGAGUAUUUUUGUCAACUUAUCUUUUGAAGCUUUUCAGUUAUGGCGGCUUAAGCUUCCUAUGGGUGAACUGACGUGAAAGGGAUGCAGAUCAACUCCUGACGAGGAGCCUAAUGUGCAACACAGGAGGGAUUUGAGAGAUCAAGUCGAGAUUUUCUAGAAAUAGUACUUUCCACUUGUUUCUUUUAUAUUUCUUUUCUAAACGCUGGUGAUUACUUUCUAUUUUAUGUUUGUACGGAAGUAUACAUGAUUUCUGGGUUAAAUGUUAUUUUAUUUAAUAUUACUUCUACUAUUUAAUC